CCUCUUUCUGGGUUAGCUGAACCUCCCUGUCUGGACAUCCCUGCUCUGGGGAGAAGCAGAGAGGCAAAGUGGAAACAGAAAGUGGUCCUAGCUCAGCUGCUAAUGUGUUUACCCACAGCCUGGAGCAGCUGGGAGUUCCAUCUGCUGAUCUCUCCCAGCUGCCUCUCCGGGAUGGUGGUGCUGAGAGGAGAGAGGGGCCCUGGAGAGCCUCCCUGGAGAGGCUGAGGGUGGGGAGCAGAGCUCCUCAUGGCUCUGAUGGACUCUGCCAACUCCCGCCUCCCAGUGGUGGAGGAAAAGACCUUUCCCCAAGGGGCGUGAGCUCGGGGGGCUCAGCAGAAGCUCAGGGUCAUCUCCAGCUAGGUCCUCCUUUCCUGUUCUCCUAGUACCCUGGGUUAAGAGACCAUUUUCUUUCUCCUCAUUGGCAACAACAAAAACUAUAGCCCCAGUGCUGGUUCUGGGCCCAUGAACCUGUACUGGUUUAGGGCAGGGAGUAAUGUGGAAUCCAACCAGGGUGUUUGAGACCUAAGGGGCUGUGUCUCCUGUGGCUGGACAGACACAGGCCUGGGCUCCUCACAUCUGAUUUAAGAUCACCCCUUUCUGACUGGCCCUGGGGGCUUUUAUCCCCCAAGCAGCCCCCUCCCAUUGCUCAGCUCAAUUUCUUUGUUUCCUCCAGCCUAAGAAAUGCCUUAAGUCCUGAAGAUAUCUUCCUUUUCAAACUCUGGCAUUGCCACUAGGAGCUGGAGAGGUGAUCCAUUCAGGGAAUGAGAAGCAGGCACCAGGAAAGGGGGGUGGGCUGGAGACAAUUCACAUCCAUCCAUCCAUCCAUCCAUCCAUCUAUCCAUCCAUCCAUCCAUCUGUCCUUUUUUGUUUUUGUUUUUGUUUUUGUUUUUUUGAGACGGAGUCUCACUCUGUCGCCCAGGCUGGAGUGCAGUGGCGGGAUCUCGGCUCACCGCAAGCUCCGCCUUCCGGGUUCAC
rnacentral:lncRNA from 10 species